rnacentral:lncRNA from 1 species
UGCUACCGCGUCCUGUUACUGGAGUCUAAGGAGAAGCCUGGGUCACUGGCCUAAGCCUCUUAUUCUGCUGAGUCAGUACAGUGGGUGCUAGUCUACAGUGUGAAACUGAGGGUCUAGGAUUUCCUAUUGCUGGAGGAAAGAUGUGAAAAUUCCUCUACACUAGCUGUGUCUUGGCCAGAAUGACUAAGUAAGUACUGAGCUCGAAUACGUACAGCUGCUGUAUGAUCUCAGGGCAGAGGCCCCACUCGAACUUCUUUGUCUUCCUGCCUUCAUUCAUCAUGCUCUCAGAGGAAUAUCGACCCAACUCUAGAAACCUUCGAGUAUACUCCGACACAGUCAUCUCACCUUGGACAAGGUGUGUAAACUUCAU